rnacentral:rRNA from 1 species
AACGAACGCUGGCGGCAUGCCUAACACAUGCAAGUCGAACGAGACCUUCGGGUCUAGUGGCGCACGGGUGCGUAACGCGUGGGAACCUGCACUUAGGUUCGGAAUAACUCCCCGAAAGGGGUGCUAAUACCGGAUAAUGUCUUCGGACCAAAGAUUUAUCGCCUUUGGAUGGGCCCGCGUUGGAUUAGCUAGUUGGUAGGGUAAAAGCCUACCAAGGCGACGAUCCAUAGCUGGUCUGAGAGGAUGAUCAGCCACACUGGGACUGAGACACGGCCCAGACUCCUACGCGAGGCAGCAGUGGGGAAUAUUGGACCAUGGGCGAAAGCCUGAUCCAGCAAUGCCGCGUGAGUGAUGAAGGCCUUAGGGUUGUAAAGCUCUUUUACCCGGGAUGAUAAUGACAGUACCGGGUGAAUAAGCUCCGGCUAACUACGUG